UGUGGCGUUUGUCCUCGUUAUUGAAGCAGCGAUGGUGUUGGGAAGAAGAAAGGGAAACAUUAAGGCUUUCAAUCAAAUCGUGCCAAGCAACGACUGGAAAGGAGGUAUAAGGAAAGACUCUCGAAUGUUGAUAUGCAAGCAGAGAAAAUCAAGACCCGUGUACUUCUGUAAUAAUUGCUUAGGAAAACCCGGGUAUCGCUCACGCGCUUUUCUCUGUACUCGAUGUCAUACAUCGUGUAGUACAUGUCCAGGGUUUGAUGUACAAAAGUGUCAUCCAGUAUA